ensembl:lncRNA
AAGGGCUACAGUGGGUGUGCAGACUGCAGGAGCCCACAGGGCGUUCCCUGGGGAUGAGGACAGAAGAGCCUGUGACUUCAGAGGAGGUGAGGGAUAGAAGAAGGGGUGAGGAGUGCUGGUGUGUUGGCUGUGGAGUGAGGGAGAGGAGCCAAGAGGUGAGAUCGAUGGCUGGUGGCUGCCUGCAGGUGGGUGGUGGGCAGGGGACACCUGCAGCUCUGAAGGACCGGGUGUCCCCUUGCUGUUGGGCAGCUGGUCCCAAAGGUUUGUUUUUGCUCCUGCCAAAGGGCAGACAUGGUUUGAGUUGAGACACCUGGCGCAGGUACCAGGAAUGGCAUCAUCAGAGAAAAAUGGAAGGCAGUACGAAAAAUUGCCUAAAAAUUUCCAUACGUUUCCAGUAGGUUUUGCAGGCCAUUCUGAGCACUACGCUUAUGGACGUGGUUAUGCUGUUCCCAGACACUGACCUGACUGAAGCAGCGGGAGCUGAACACGCCUGCAAGUCUCUAGCUGCCUUCUGGCCACGGUUCUGGGAAGGCUGCAGCUGCAGCAGAAGUGGAAGCACAUGGGAAAAUGACUCACCUCCCAGGGGCUAGGCAUGGAUUUUCAACCCAGCAGAGCACAGGAAAUAUGACAUGAAGGUGGAGCGUUGUGCUACUCGAGGAACAAAAUGUCAUGGCAAAUAACUGCUUCGAGUCUGGCCUAUUCUUUAACAGACUUGUAGGCUGUGAAGAUCCAGAGUACAAGCCUUUACUCUGGGAACCAUUGCCAAGGAGAUGAUUAUUCAUUAAUGAUAUAAUCUUUGACCUGGAAGCCCUGUGCUCUGAGCACAGCCUGUGAAGCAACAGGGCCCUGGGGACAACCACACGUGUGUUCGAAGUCCAGCGCUGCAGGGAGUGAAAAGAGCAGCCAGUCACUGAAGAAAGAGUGAAUAACUCUCUCUGCCCGCCUGCUUUAGUGAGGACACGUUUACCAGGUGCCUCAUGAGGGACUCGAGGAAAAUACCAGAGACACCCAACUCAUUUCAUUUUGAAAACUGUGAAGGAAGAUGGUAGCUGUAGGUACCAGGAAUGUGCUGUCAUUGAAAUACAGUCCCAGUGUUUCUCAGCCUGCUCAUCCUGUGCAGUCUGUGAGAACCAGGGCACAGGGGCAAUGUAAAGUUGGAGCUGGAGAUGCCAGGGCCUGCAGCUGCCUUAGCUCAGGGUCAGCCCACAGCACACGGCUGCCUCAGGGCCCCUGGGGGCCCAGGAAGCUCCAGGUGCAAAUGUGUCUGCGUUGCACAGCUCGGACUCUGGACACACAGAGAAGCCUGUGGUCCCACAGCUUUGCAGAUAAACCACUUCUGGACUAAAAAAGAAAAACAAGAUAAACUGUUGGAGAGCUCUCAGCUGGGUCCUUGCAUGUGGUCUUAUGUGCUGAAAAGAGAGGAUGCCAAAAGAGUUCAGAUCAACAACACAGGGAAUUUGUUUACUAUUCUGUGGACUAACAUCAAGAUGUUUCAAUCAAUC